rnacentral:rRNA from 1 species
UGAGGAAUAUUGGUCAAUGGGCGAGAGCCUGAACCAGCCACGUCGCGUGAAGGAAGACUGACCUUACGGUUUGUAAACUUCUUUUGUAGAGGGGUAAUGGCAGAUACGUGUAUUUGCGUGAAAGUACUCUACGAAUAAGCAUCGGCUAACUCCGUGCCAGCAGCCGCGGUAAUACGGGGGAUGCGAGCGUUAUCCGGAAUUAUUGGGUUUAAAGGGUGCGCAGGUGGCUAAUCAGGUCAGUGGUGAAAAGCUAUGGCUCAACCAUGGUCUUGCCAUUGAAACCGUAUAGCUAGAGAGGAGACGAGGUAGGCGGAAUGUGUGGUGUAGCGGUGAAAUGCAUAGAUAUUAGGAAGAACACCAGUGGCGAAGGCGACUUUCUGGACGAACACUGACGCUGAGGCGCGAAAGCCAGGGGAGCGAACGGG